rnacentral:rRNA from 1 species
GAUGAACGCUGGCGGCGUGCCUAAUACAUGCAAGUCGAGCGAACGGACGAGAAGCUUGCUUCUCUGAUGUUAGCGGCGGACGGGUGAGUAACACGUGGAUAACCUACCUAUAAGACUGGGAUAACUUCGGGAAACCGGAGCUAAUACCGGAUGAUAUUUUGAACCGCAUGGUUCAAAAGUGAAAGACGGUCUUGCUGUCACUUAUAGAUGGAUCCGCGCUGCAUUAGCUAGUUGGUAAGGUAACGGCUUACCAAGGCAACGAUGCAUAGCCGACCUGAGAGAGUGAUCAGCCACACUGGAACGUAGACACGGUCCAGACUCCUACGGGAGGCAGCAGUAGGGAAUCUUCCGCAAUGGGCGAAAGCCUGACGGAGCAACGCCGCGUGAGUGAUGAAGGUCUUCGGAUCGUAAAACUCUGUUAUUAGGGAAGAACAUAUGUGUAAGUAACUGUGCACAUCUUGACGGUACCUAAUCAGAAAGCCACGGCUAACUACGUG